GAUGAACGCUAGCGGCAGGCUUAACACAUGCAAGUCGAGGGGCAGCGCGGUAGCAAUACUGGCGGCGACCGGCAAACGGGUGCGGAACACGUACAGAACCUACCUUUACCUGGGGCAUAGCCCGGAGAAAUCCGGAUUAACUCCCCAUAAUAUAGAUGAGUGGCAUCACUUGACUAUUAAAAAUUUAUUGGGUAAAGAUGGCUGUGCGUCCCAUUAGCUAGUUGGUAGGGUAACGGCCUACCAAGGCGACGAUGGGUAGCUGGUGUGAGAGCACGACCAGCCACACGGGCACUGAGACACGGGCCCGACUCCUACGGGAGGCAGCAGUGAGGAAUAUUGGUCAAUGGACGCAAGUCUGAACCAGCCAUGCCGCGUGAAGGAUGAAGGCCUUCUGGGUUGUAAACUUCUUUUAUCUGGGAAGAAAAGCCUGUUUUCUAACGGGUCCGACGGUACCAGAGGAAUAAGCACCGGCUAACUCCGUGCCAGCAGCCGCGGUAAUACGGAGGGUGCAAGCGUUAUCCGGAUUUACUGGGUUUAAAGGGUGUGUAGGCGGGCUUUUAAGUCAGUGGUGAAAUCUCCGGGCUCAACCCGGAAACUGCCAUUGAUACUAUUAGUCUUGAAUUUUGUUGAGGUAGGCGGAAUAAGUCAUGUAGCGGUGAAAUGCUUAGAUAUGACUUAGAACACCAAUUGCGAAGGCAGCUUGCUAAACAAAUAUUGACGCUGAGGCACGAAAGCGUGGGGAUCAAACAGGAUUAGAUACCCUGGUAGUCCACGCCCUAAACGAUGAUUACUCGACAUACGCGAUACACUGUGUGUGUCUGAGCGAAAGCAUUAAGUAAUCCACCUGGGAAGUACGAUCGCAAGAUUG
rnacentral:rRNA from 1 species